rnacentral:rRNA from 1 species
GACGAACGCUGGCGGCGUGCUUAACACAUGCAAGUCGAACGGAAAGGCCCUGCUUUUGUGGGGUGCUCGAGUGGCGAACGGGUGAGUAACACGUGAGUAACCUGCCCUUGACUUUGGGAUAACUUCAGGAAACUGGGGCUAAUACCGGAUAGGAGCUCCUGCUGCAUGGUGGGGGUUGGAAAGUUUCGGCGGUUGGGGAUGGACUCGCGGCUUAUCAGCUUGUUGGUGGGGUAGUGGCUUACCAAGGCUUUGACGGGUAGCCGGCCUGAGAGGGUGACCGGACACAUGGGGACUGAGAUACGGCCCAGACUACUACGGGAGGCAGCAGUGGGGAAUAUUGCACAAUGGGCGGAAGCCUGAUGCAGCAACGCCGCGUGCGGGAUGACGGCCUUCGGGUUGUAAACCGCUUUCGCCUGUGACGAAGCGUGAGUGACGGUAAUGGGUAAAGAAGCACCGGCUAACUACGUG